rnacentral:lncRNA from 1 species
AAUGUGCAGAAUUUUCAAGGACAAAUCAGCAGAGCUUCAUGAUUGACUCGCAUUAUGAAUCAGAGCCUUCUGCGUUCUAAAACAUAAAUGACACAUAUGGACUGUUUACAUAGCAGUGCCUACUCAACAGUUGAGCUUUUAUAGAGCUGGGCAAAUGUAUUUGAAAAAUGGAGCUCUUUGCAUAGCUGAUCUUAAAGAAGGAAGAUGGACAGGCAGUCAACUCUGAGCUAUGAUUGGAAGCUUCCCCCAUGUCUCUACACACAAUACCUGAAAUUGCUGAUUACUUCUGUUGAAGCAAUCUAACGUACUUCAAAGGAUUCCUCACUCAGGCCAGCCUUAGAGGCAUAUCCCCUAAGACCUCCUUGAAUUUGGCUUUAGCAGGGCCCAGAAGGGCCCAUAAGGGAUUGGAGAAAACAGAACUCUUUGUUCAUAUUCCCAUCUUCAACUUGACAUCAGCCCAGAGCUACAGCCUGUUCAGUUGGCACUAGCUGGCACUUGGACCCAGG